CGCGGAGUGGAGCAGUUGGUAGCUCGUCGGGCUCAUAACCCGAAGGUCGUAGGUUCAAGUCCUAUUUCCGCUACCA
rnacentral:tRNA from 1 species